rnacentral:rRNA from 1 species
AUUGAACGCUGGCGGCAGGCCUAACACAUGCAAGUCGAACGAGUGGCGGACGGGUGAGUAAUGUCUGGGAAACUGCCUGAUGGAGGGGGAUAACUACUGGAAACGGUAGCUAAUACCGCAUACCCUAGGAUGUGCCCAGAUGGGAUUAGCUAGUAGGGUGGGUAACGGCUCCCCUAGGCGAAGAUCCCUAGCUGGUCUGAGAGGAUGACCAGCCACACUGGUACGUGGACACGGCCCAGACUCCUACGGGAGGCAGCAGUGGGGAAUAUUGCACAAUGGGCGCAAGCCUGAUGCAGCCAUGCCGCGUGUAUGAAGAAGGCCUUCGGGUUGUAAAGUACUUUCAGCGGGGAGGCGUUACCCGCAGAAGAAGCACCGGCUAACUCCGUGCCAGCCGCCGCGGUAAUAC